UACAGAGGGUGCAAGCGUUGUUCGGAAUUAUUGGGCGUAAAGCGCGUGUAGGCGGCUUUGCAAGUCGGGUGUGGAAGCCCUCAGCUCAACUGAGGAAGUGCGCCCGAAACUGCGAGGCUUGAGUACCGGAGAGGAUGGCGGAAUUCCCCAAGUAGAGGUGAAAUUCGUAGAUAUGGGGAGGAACACCGGUGGCGAAGGCGGCCAUCUGGACGGAUACUGACGCUGAGACGCGAAAGCGUGGGGAGCAAACAGG
rnacentral:rRNA from 1 species